rnacentral:tmRNA from 2 species
GGGGGCGACCUAGAUUCGACGGAGAUACGGUUUCGCAGGAUGCGUGCCGAGGACCAUCACCCUCGUAAAUCAGAUGGAACACACAAUAACUGCAAACACGCAGCUCGCUCUCGCAGCCUAAACCCCUGUGAGCGUCCACUCCGGUCAGCCUGCGGGCCGGAACUGGAUGUCAUUCAAGCAGGCUGGCUGUUGACGGCCGUCCCGGACGUCAACGGCGAGAUCGUUCCGGGGUUGGCGCGCGGCGGUUGUGCCGCUUCUUCACGCCGCGCGCAACACAUUAGAGGCGGAUACGCAUCGUAGAUUCCUGCGGGGAUGUAUUUUCGGACCCGGGUGCAAAUCCCGGCGCCUCCAAUU